UAAUAAUAUUAAUAUAGAGUUGUCGCCAAAACGUAAAAAUCUUAAACCGUUAAAGAACAAAACGAAAAACGACGACGGCGGUCACUGCCGAGUGUGGCUAUAGGAAAAAUAAACUUUGUCAUAAAAGUAUAAUAAUAGUAUAAUUAUUAAUAAAAUGAUUAAUCGAUUAUUAUAAAUUAGUUAAUCGUUUUGGUCGUAAAACAUCACUGCUGUAUUUUAUACUUGUUUGUUUG